rnacentral:rRNA from 1 species
GGAAUUUUCGGCAAUGGGCGAAAGCCUGACCGAGCAAUGCCGCGUGAAUGAAGAAAUUCUUCGGAAUGUAAAAUUCUGUGGUGAGGGAAGAAAGGUAUUAGAAGGAAAUGGCUAAUAUUUGACGGUACCUUACUAGAAAGCCCCGGCUAACUAUGUGCCAGCAGCCGCGGUAAUACAUAGGGGGCAAGCGUUAUCCGGAAUUAUUGGGCGUAAAGCGUGCGUAGGCGGCCACUUAAGUCUGUCGUGAAAGCCCACAGCUUAACUGUGGAGGGUCGAUGGAAACUGAGAGGCUUGAAUCUAGGAGAGGUAAGUGGAAUUCCAUGUGUAGCGGUAAAAUGCUUAGAUAUAUGGAGGAACACCAGUGGCGAAGGCGGCUUACUGGUCUAGAAUUGACGCUGAUGCACGAAAGCGUGGGUAGCAAACAGGAUUAGAUACCCUGGUAGUCCACGCCGUAAACGAUGAGCACUAAGUGUCGGACGUAAGUUCGGUGCUGAAGUUAACGCAUUAAGUGCUCCGCCUGGGGAGUACGGUCGCAAGACUGAAACUCAAAGGAAUUGACGGGGACUCGCACAAGCGGUGGAGCAUGUGGUUUAAUUCGACGCAACGCGAAAAACCUUACCAGGCCUUGACAUACCGAUGACGUCUUUAGAGAUAGAGAGUUACCUUCGGGUACAUCGGAUACAGGUGGUGCAUGGUUGUCGUCAGCUCGUGUCGUGAGAUGUUGGGUUAAGUCCCGCAACGAGCGCAACCCUUAUCAUUAGUUGCUAACAGUCAGAUGAGCACUCUAAUGAGACUGCCAGCGAAAAGUUGGAGGAAGGUGGGGAUGACGUCAAAUCAUCAUGCCCCUUAUGGCCUGGGCUACACACGUGCUACAAUGGCUGGUACAAAGAGGAGCAAAGCUGUGAAGUGGAGCAAAUCUCAAAAAGCCAGUCUCAGUUCGGAUUGUAGUCUGCAACUCGACUACAUGAAGUUGGAAUCGCUAGUAAUCGUAAAUCAGCAUGUUACGGUGAAUACGUUCUCGAGUCUUGUACACACCGCCCGUCACACCAUGAGAGUUUGUAAUACCCGAAGCCGGUGGCUUAACCGCAAGGAGAGAGCCGUCUAAGGUAGGACAGAUGAUUGGGGUGAAGUCGUAACAAGGUAUCCCUACGAGAACGUGGGGAUG